GGUGGCUCAUGCCUGUAAUCCCAGCACUUUGGGAGGCCGAGGCAGGCGGACCACCUGAGAUGCUGUACUUCAGAUUCUAGAAUUAGGAGAAUUUGACCAGCUUAAUAAGUGUCCAAAUAAGUGAUUUCUACUCCCACUUCCUUAACAUGCAAUUGCCGAAUAAACAAACCCACAAAGGCAAGGCAGCAAUGUGUAUUCUGAAACCAGGUUUUUAAGGCCUGAUUUGGAGUUGUCUUCCUAUUGGACCCCAGCUCUUGGGUUCAAAGUCGACGAUCAUUUGUACGAAUGCCAUGGUAUAUUUAAGUGAGUGGUUACAGCUGUUUCAGUUUCUUCCUCGCCAGUGUUUGGGGAUCGGUGAGUGGGCCAAGCCAGGACUCACCCCCUGCAAGUUCACAGAGGCCUCAAACUCUGACAAGCAGAAGUUUCCAUCUUAAAGACUGACAGGUAUACCUAGAGAUUGAAAAUUAACAUCCAGAAUAUUGCUUUCCCAAACAUUAUAUGUUUAUUUAAGACUCUGAAUGCUAUGUUGGCUCUAGCCUUGAAUCUCUGCACAUUUCAAGGGAUUCUGUACUUCUUGAUUACUAAAACAUAUGGAAAUUGUACAAAUCCAGCAUGAAAGGCAUUCUUUUUCUUUUUAAAGGGACUGCUUCUAUAUUCCACAUUUCAAAAACCUCAUCUGGGUUAGAAAUGUAGGUAUGUCCUUCACUGAUGAGGUUUGGAAACAUUUUGAAAUCUCAUUUUUAAACAAUAAA
rnacentral:lncRNA from 1 species